rnacentral:rRNA from 1 species
GAUGAACGCUGGCGGCGUGCUUAACACAUGCAAGUCGAACGGUGAAGGCGGAGCUUGCUCUGCUGGAUCAGUGGCGAACGGGUGAGUAACACGUGAGCAAUCUGCCCCUGACUCUGGGAUAAGCGCUGGAAACGGCGUCUAAUACUGGAUACGAGCUGCGAAGGCAUCUUCAGCAGCUGGAAAGAACUUCGGUCAGGGUUGAGCUCGCGGCCUAUCAGCUUGUUGGUGAGGUAACGGCUCACCAAGGCGUCGACGGGUAGCCGGCCUGAGAGGGUGACCGGCCACACUGGGACUGAGACACGGCCCAGACUCCUACGGGAGGCAGCAGUGGGGAAUAUUGCACAAUGGGCGAAAGCCUGAUGCAGCAACGCCGCGUGAGGGACGACGGCCUUCGGGUUGUAAACCUCUUUUAGCAGGGAAGAAGCGAAAGUGACGGUACCUGCAGAAAAAGCGCCGGCUAACUACGUG